UGGGGAAUCUUCCGCAAUGGACGAAAGUCUGACGGAGCAACGCCGCGUGAGUGAAGACGGCCUUCGGGUUGUAAAGCUCUGUUAUUCGGGAAGAACGAUUCGUUUGUGAACAAUGAACGGAAGUGACGGUACCGAAAGAGAAAGCCACGGCUAACUACGUGCCAGCAGCCGCGGUAAUACGUAGGUGGCAAGCGUUGUCCGGAAUUAUUGGGCGUAAAGAGCGCGUAGGCGGUAUGGUAAGUCUGUCUUAGAAGUGCGGGGCUUAACCCCGUGAGGGGACAGAGACUGUCAUACUGGAGUCUCGGAGAUGAACGCGGAAUUCCUAGUGUAGCGGUGAAAUGCGUAGAGAUUAGGAAGAACACCGAUGGCGAAGGCGGCUUUCUGGACGAGCACUGACGCUGAGGCGCGAAAGCGUGGGGAGCGAACAGG
rnacentral:rRNA from 1 species